GAUGAACGCUAGCGAUAGGCCUAACACAUGCAAGUCGAGGGGCAUCACAUGAAGUAGCAAUACGGAUGGUGGCGACCGGCGCACGGGUGAAUAACACGUAUGCAACCUGCCUUCAACAAGGGGAUAACCCGUUGAAAGACGGACUAAUACCCUAUAACACAGGGGUCCCGCAUGGGAAUAUUUGUUAAAGGACAACCGGUUGAAGAUGGGCAUGCGUUCCAUUAGCUAGUUGGCGGGGUAACGGCCCACCAAGGCAACGAUGGAUAGGGGAACUGAGAGGUUUAUCCCCCACACUGGUACUGAGACACGGACCAGACUCCUACGGGAGGCAGCAGUGAGGAAUAUUGGUCAAUGGACGCAAGUCUGAACCAGCCACGUCGCGUGAAGGAAGACGGCCCUACGGGUUGUAAACUUCUUUUAUACGGGAAUAAAGUGCCCCACGCGUGGGGUUUUGCAUGUACCGUAUGAAUAAGGAUCGGCUAACUCCGUGCCAGCAGCCGCGGUAAUUCACUA
rnacentral:rRNA from 1 species